rnacentral:pre_miRNA from 1 species
UAUUAAAAAUUUCAUCCUUUUGUACUAUUAAAAACUAGCAUGGUUUUUUUAAUAGUAGAAAUAGAUGAUAUUUUUAACA